AAUAGAUACCCCGGUAGUCCACGCCGUAAACGUUGGGCGCUAGAUGUGGGGGCCAUUCCACGGUUUCCGCGUCGUAGCUAACGCAUUAAGCGCCCCGCCUGGGGAGUACGGCCGCAAGGCUAAAACUCAAAGGAAUUGACGGGGGCCCGCACAAGCGGCGGAGCAUGCGGAUUAAUUCGAUGCAACGCGAAGAACCUUACCAAGGCUUGACAUAUACGAGAACACUGCAGAAAUGUAGGACUCUUUGGACACUCGUAUACAGGUGGUGCAUGGUUGUCGUCAGCUCGUGUCGUGAGAUGUUGGGUUAAGUCCCGCAACGAGCGCAACCCUCGUCGCAUGUUGCCAGCACGUAAAGGUGGGAACUCAUGUGAGACUGCCGGGGUCAACUCGGAGGAAGGUGGGGAUGACGUCAAAUCAUCAUGCCCCUUAUGUCUUGGGCUUCACGCAUGCUACAAUGGCCGGUACAAAGGGCUGCAAUACCGUAAGGUGGAGCGAAUCCCAAAAAGCCGGUCUCAGUUCGGAUUGAGGUCUGCAAC
rnacentral:rRNA from 1 species